AUCCCGUGGUGAGGACAUGCGAGGAUGUACUCCUAAAGCCUGUCCUAUGCUUUAGAGAUUCACUCAUUAGACACCUGCUGGAAGCUGGAGAUUCUUCCUUGAAGAGCGU